GGCGGGCUCCCUGCGAGGGCGGGCGCGUCUGAGCCGGAGCCCCAGAGCCGCCCCACCGGGCCGCGCCCCGAGCGAGCCUUAGAAAUGCCCGCGCUGGGGGAGCGGGUGCCUGCCGCUCCGUGGGCCCGGAGGAGACGCUGAAGGUCGCCGGGAAGUGAGCGCCCGGUCACCUGACCCCCGGGGCGCACCUAGGCGGGGCGGGAUCCAUGCGAGGCUGGCGGCCGGGGGCCAGGAGCAGGCGGCGCGGAGCGCGCGGAGCCGGGCCGGCGGGGGCGCGCGGCGGGCGGGCGAGGGCGCGGCCGGGCACCCGCGGCGGCCUCGCCAUGUCCCAGCCGGCGGGGAGGAUGCAUUGCCGAAAGGCGGGGAUCCGCGCCGCGGUGGUGCUCAUCGGACUCCUGCACAAAUCCCGAAAACAGAAUAAAGAGAAAAGGAAGCAGGAGCUGGCCAACAGCUCAGAUGUGACUCUCCCAGACCGGUCGCUGUCCCCUCCUCUCACUGCACCUCCCACCAUGAAGUCGGCGGAGUUCUUCGAGAUGCUGGAGAAAAUGCAGGGGAUCAAGCUCGAAGAGCAGAAGCCAGGACCCCCGAAGAACAAGGAUGACUAUAUCCCGUACCCCAGCAUCGAUGAGAUUGUGGGGAAGGGAGGCCCAUACCCCCUGGUUGUCCUGCCCCAGUUCGGGGGCUACUGGAUCGAGGACCCGGAGAACGUGGGCACGCCGACCUCCCUGGGCAGCAGCGUGUGCGAGGAGGAGGACGAGGAUGGCCUCAGCCCCAGCACCUUCGGCUACAAGCUGGAGUGCAAGAGCGAAGCCAGGGCCUACCGCAGGCACUUCCUGGGGCAGGAUCAUCUAAACUUUUACUGUACCGGCAGCAGUUUGGGGAACUUGCUCCUGUCCAUCAAGUGCGAGGAGGCGGAGGGCAUUGAGUACCUUCGGAUUAUUCUCAGGUCCAAGGUGAAGACAGUGCAUGAACGGAUCCCCUUGGCAGGAUUGAGCAAGCUGCCCAGCAUCCCUCAGAUUGCAAAGGCCUUCUGUGAUGAUGCAGUGGGACUGAAAUUCAGCCCUGUCCUGUACCCCAAGGCCUCCCAAAUGAUUGUGUCCUAUGAUGAGCACGAUGUCAAGAACACAUUCAAAUUUGGAGUCAUUUACCAGAAAGCCAGGCAGACCCUGGAGGAGGAGCUGUUUGGGAACAAUGAGGAGAGCCCAGCUUUCAAGGAGUUCUUGGAACUGCUGGGGGACACCAUCACCCUGCAGGACUUCAAAGGUUUCCGAGGAGGCCUGGAUGUGACCCACGGACAGACGGGGGCGGAGUCAGUGUACACGAUAUUUCGGGACAGGGAGAUCAUGUUUCACGUCUCCACAAAGCUGCCCUUUACGGAGGGAGACACCCAGCAGCUCCAGAGAAAGAGACACAUUGGCAAUGACAUUGUGGCCAUCAUCUUCCAAGAAGAAAACACACCUUUUGUCCCAGAUAUGAUUGCCUCCAACUUUUUACAUGCCUACAUCGUGGUGCAGGCUGAGAGCCCGGGCACAGAGACCCCAUCCUACAAGGUCUCGGUCACUGCAAGGGAAGACGUGCCUGCCUUCGGCCCACCUCUACCGAGCCCCCCUGUUUUCCAGAAGGGCCCGGAGUUCAGGGAGUUUCUGCUCACGAAGCUCACCAACGCAGAGAACGCUUGCUGCAAGUCGGACAAGUUUGCAAAGCUGGAGGACCGGACGAGGGCCGCCCUCUUGGACAACCUUCACGAUGAGCUCCAUGCACGCACACAGGUCAUGCUGGGACUGGGCCCAGAAGAGGACAAGUUUGAGAAUGGGAGCCAUGGGGGAUUCCUGGAGUCUUUUAAGAGGGCCAUCCGAGUGCGCAGCCACUCCAUGGAGACCAUGGUGAGCAGCCAGAAGAAGCAACAUGGCGGAGGUCUCCCUGGCAGCCUCAGCGGGGGCAUCUCCCACAACAGCACAGAGGUCACCAAGACUACCUUCUCGCCUCCAGUGGCGGCGGCAACCGCCAAGAACCAGUCGAGGAGCCCCAUCAAGCGGCGGUCAGGGCUUUUCCCCCGUCUGCACACGGGCUCCGAAGGCCAAGGGGACAGCCGGACGCGAUGUGACAGUGCAUCCAACAACCCCAAGGCUCUGGAUGGCGGGCACUCUUCUCAGGAGAUAAAGUCUGAGACCUCAUCCAAUCCCAGCUCUCCAGAAAUCUGCCCCAAUAAGGAGAAGCCCUUCAUAAAGCUGAAGGAGAACGGCCGGGCCAACAUCUCCCGCUCCUCCUCCAGCACCAGCAGCUUCAGCAGCACGGCCGGGGAGGGCGAGGCCUUGGAGGAGUGUGACAGCGGGCCAGCCGUCCACCACCUCGCCUUUCAAGCAGGAGGUGUUUGUCUACAGCCCAUCCCCCAGCAGCGAGAGUCCCAGCCUGGGGACAGCCACUACUCCCAUCAUCAUGAGCCGGAGUCCUACAGAUGCCAAAAACAGAAAUUCCCCGAGGUCAAACCUAAAAUUCCGCUUUGACAAGCUCAGCCACGGGAGUUCCAGUUCGGGUCACUAAUGAGAAAGAGGAGUCCUUUGCCUAUCAAAGGGAAGCCUCAGUUCUGUCUCGGAGAAGGCUCCUGUCCUAGCAGUGCGGGGGUGCCAUUCACUACUAUGACCAUCACAGGCCUGUUGCUCCACUGGCCACCUGCCCACCAGACCUGUCCUGGUGUCCUGACCUGUCCACAGUGGCCCACCCCUUCACCAGGAUACCCUGCCAGCACCUCCCCUUCUGUGGACAAAGCCUCAUUCCUCCAGUCUCCCCUGCUCCUGACCAUCCCCUGUGCUGUGUGUCUGGGGCGUUUGUUAUCUCGUUUUUGCCUGCAGAGGCAAGUGUUGGGCAAGGGGGAACCUAGGUACUGGGGACUUGGAGACCAGAGAGGCAGAGAGCAUGGGACGUGGGGAGUGCAGGCCCACUGAGGGCUGUGUCUUGGGCCCGACAGGCACAGUGAGUGCAUUCUUGCUGGUGAGGGGGGCACUUUUCCAGGGACCCAUUUGUAGCUCCUCAGAGAUGUCCUGAUAGACAUUGGCUCUGUUGCUCUCACACUUCUGGAGCUCCCAGUAUCUGCUUGCUUCUCUGCCAGGAACUUCUCCCCCUCUUGCUGCCACAGGCCCAGGGCUGCCUCUGUCCCUGCUGCCGGCGCACAGCCCGGCGUGUGUGGGAGUGGGCGCCACACCCUUCCUUUUGGCUGAUUUCAUGCCAGCUCCAGACGGUGGCUGCUGGGGGAGAAGCCCUGUGUCGGUGGCUCCCCUUUGAGUGUGUGUUUUUCCCACGAAAGGGAGGGCAGCCAGGACAGAGAAGGAAUCCAGGGAGAGAGCCAGUGAGCGCCUGGGCCUUGGCAGAGGAGGACAUUGGGUGCGAGGGUGAGGCGGUGACCCAGGUGGCGGCUGUCCGUGGAGGUUCGUGGAGAGUUACCGCAACCCAGCUCUUUUGUGGAGCGGGAGAGGUGAGGAGGGGAUGACUCGGUAGGUGUGGUCAGGCCGACUGUGGGUGUAGAACUUAGGUGACAGGAAGGAGCGACCUCCUUCUGCAUUUCAUGUGGGCAGCUCAGUGCUGCCUGGGGGGCUCUUUACAGCGACUGUGCCCUUUGGCUUUGUCAGGGUGGGAUCCCCCGCCCUCUUCCCUUUCCCAACUGACCUACCAACCGUGGGCCUGUGGCAUUCCUGGAGACAUUCCUUCAUCCAGAGCCCCAGCUGGGUGCAGUUCAGAAACCACCUGCCAUCUGCCCCCUCAGCUAGAGAGAGCCACCUCCCCUGGGAUGGGACAGCUGCUCCCUGCUUCUCACUACCCACCUGAGUCUGCAGGUGGUUUCUGCAGACCUGCCCUGGUGGGGUUUAAGGCCUGGUAUCCUCCAGGUAAAAACAGAGUCUGAAGAGCAGACCCUUGGAGGUGCUGCAAUUUCAAGUGUGCAUGGGGCGUCCGGGACACAGGGCUGCUCGCUGGCUGGGCUCCUGCUUGAAUGAGCAGGUGAUGAGGGUUUCCAACCAAAUGCUUUAUUUGCAUUGGAUCUGGGCUUAUCCCCAAAGUCAAGGCAUACAAAUGUUACCCUUGUUUUUGACUGAUGUGGUCAUUUCCCCAUUGCUUUUUCAGUUAGAGCAAAACCUCGAUCCUCCACUCCCCCGCUCCCGUGGACGUGGUGGGGUCCGGUCUGUGGGCUGGUGGACCUCUCCCCCACAUCAUUCGGGGAAUGUGUUUACUUAAAGUACUAGUCUAGUAGAACUUAUUCUAGUUAGAAGGUCAACAAAUGUCUGUUUAGAUUUUAUGACAAAUCACGGUGGCAGCACCCACUGCUGGAGUGAGGCCUGCGGAUGCUGGCAGCGUUCUGCUGGCUGAGUUUCUGAAGGAACUUGGAAGGUUAAACUGCAUUUCUUUAAAAACAGUUCCAGGGUUCUGGCUUGCUUCUCUGGAUAGCCGGUACUUACAGCUGCUCCGUGGUUGUGCUGUGUUGUGUCGUGGUCUGGGGGUCUUCUGGGGUUUCCAGGUGGCCCCCACUCUGUCCUACUUGGGAACCUCAUACCCCACUUCCCGCUGUGCUCUGCUGCCCCCACUGCAGCUCCCACCUGCUGGGAGGGCUUCCCUCCUGCCUCCACCAGUGGCCGGGAUGGCUGGGUGUGACCAGGGAAGCUGAGAGGUGCAGGUCUGCCCUGAGCUUCACAGACCUGAGAGGGGGCAUUUACCCUCUGUUUGCUAAUGGGGAUGCUCUGGGAAGGAUCUAAACUGUUCCUCCCCCCAUGUCCUGCAUGACCAUCCCUAAAAAGUCCAUCCUAUGGCUUCCAGAAUGUACAUACCCAGCCUCCCUGAGGUCCCAGGGCUGAGGGGGAAGAGGAGAACCAGGACCCAGCAGGCUCUGCUCCCUGCUCUGGACCUGGAUGCUGCCUUCCCCACAACCCCCUUGCUUCUGCUCUGUCCCCAACUGUCUUUCUUUCAUUGCUGUGUUCAGUCUUGGGGCUCAGAGAUUUGCUGAAAGCUCCUUGGUCCUUGUGGCCAAGCUCAUCCCAACGGUGCUCGUGCUGGCAUUUGAGGCAUCCCACAUGUGAUCCCCAGACCUGUCCCUGGCUCCGGGAACUGCCUGACUCACGGACGAAGCCAUGCUUGUCAGGGUCUGGGGGGCACCCCCACGCCUCUGCUCAGAUGAUGCUGAAAUGCAGACUCAGGAAGAGCCCGGAUGGGUUUCUGUCAUGAAUGGAAGAUGGUGUUUCUUAAAAAAUAUUCCGUGGUUUAGCCUUGACAGUAUCAUCUUGAUGUCCAUGCCUUCUGGGCUCCUUGUAGCAUCUGAUCCAACCACGUCACCUUCCAGAUGAGAACCUCAGCUCCAGAGCAGGGAAAAAGAACUUGCUUGAGGUUGCAUAAGCAGCUACUGGCAAAGCUGGGAUUAGAACAAACAGCCCAGGGCCCUUUCUUUGGCACCGCCUACAUGGUUGGUUCAACAAGGGCUGCAUUUCCUGGGGCCCUGGCUGGGAGGUGUCUGCAGUCAGGGGUGCUGGUGGGGCCUCUGACUCUGUUCCUUUCAUUGGGAGGGAUACUGGGCUCUUCAGUGGCUUGUUCCUGGGUGACAUCGACUCUUCAACUCUGGUGUGUAAGGGGGUGGAGGCCAGGGCAUAGAUGCAGUUAUCCAGCCCUCAGUUUCCCCUUUUUCAGUUAAGAAAAGUGUAAAUGAGAAGUCUUUGAUUCUCCCUGGUCCUUAAACAAAGGUGGUAGUAAAAAUAUAGACUCAGGCGGCGAGGUGGGAUGAGAGCCUGUUUCAGUUUCUUACCCUGAUUGUUCAAGGUGCCAACUCAAACACUACCUUCAUCCUUCCACUGGGAGUCAGUAGAGGCAGGCCUGUCAUGGGGGAGUGGGCGGGGUUCCAGCAGAGCUUAGGGCUGCGGGUGGCAGGCAGCAACCAGCUGUGCAGCUGUACUCAGGACUGCUCAGCUCCUCCCCCAGCCUGUGGAUACCCCUUUCUCGAACACCAGGGGUGGGAGGCAGUGGAGUUCACUUAGGUUGUCCCCAGGUGGGGGGGCCAGGUGGGGCAUUCUUCUACAAACUCUGAUCUGUUUUACCACUAGCUCCUUGCCCUGCUCGCCCCAUGUCUCCCUCCUUUUAGCUGGGCUGUGUGCCACUUUGAGGGGAAGGAGACAACCCCCACUAGGGCCAGGGACAGGGGAGCCCUGCCUAGGGCGAGGCCGCAGGGGCAGUGGCUCUGUUCUGUGCCUGACCUGCCCUGGGGAGAGGGUGUGUGGCUGGAAGACUAGAAUUUAAAUGCCAUUGUCUUUGAUUCUGUGACAUUUCUGCUUGGAAGAGUCAGUCCCCUGUUCCUGCUCCUUAGCAUGUGUGCCAACUCUCCCCUGUCAUGGAGUUCCCCUUCCACACUCCAGCCCAGGGAAUGCUGACGUGGCAGUGUGCAGAGAUCCCUCGGUGUGACUGAACCUUAGAGCUGUAGCUUGGAGAUGCUGAUCACGUGGUGAAUGACUUUCCUUCCUUUCCUCUUCGCGGGGAGGGAUUUGUAGACCCUGACUGCCUAUGUAAUGUAAAUAGUGUACAUUUAAUUUAUUGCUAUGGUAGCACAUUGUAUUUGUUAAUGUAUAAAACAAAUUCUAAAAGGUUGACAAAUGUAUAUUUUGUUGCUUAAAUGUGUCUUUGCAGAAAUUGACAAUAAAUAACAUAUUUUGUGUCCA